UUGAUUAAUAUAGCUGCAGGGACCGUCAAGCUCCCAAACAUGAGUUAGUUUAGUUUUUUCUCUCUCUCCGAAAAACAACAAUUUAAUGCCAGAGAAAUCUGAACGUGAUUUCGAGCUCUUGCUUGGUAGAAGGAAGGAGAAAGAGAGAGAAAACUAAGCAAGGUGAAGAGCGAGCAAACCGUUGAUUUAACAUCCUGAUUACGACCACAGGUGUCAACAAUCUGACAGAACUGUGAGCCCUAAAAUAACCCAACAGGGACUAUGACACAUGCUUUUAUAUAUGGAAACAGACAUAUAUGAAGAGGAAGGACCAGGUCACUAUAUGUUGUCACUGCUGAUGAGAAACAGCAGAUUACUAAGAGCAACAAUGGAGGAAACAUUUCUGCUUUAUCUCUUUCUGAUCUUAGUGCUGAGCUGUGCAGCAACUCAAGCUCGUCUGACUGUGAGUCCCAGCAGCUCUCAGCUCUUUGAAGGAGACUUUGUGUCUCUGAGCUGUGAGGAGGACGACAGCUCUGCUGGAUGGACUCUGAGGAGAAACACAAGCACGGAAAACAGGACUCAGUGUGGAGAUUGGUGGGGAAAAAAUUAUAGUUCUUCCUGUAACAUCACAGAUCUCUUUACAUGGGACAGUGGAGUUUACUGGUGUGAGUACAGAGAGGGUCCCAUCAGUAACAUGGUUAACCUGACAGUCACUGGUGGAUCAGUGAUCCUGCAGAGUCCUGUCCUCCCUGUGAUGGAGGGAGAUGACGUCACUCUGCUCUGUAAAACAAAGACCACUCCUUCCAACCUCACAGCUGCUUUCUUCAAAGAUGGCGUCUUCAUCGGAAAAGAGCCUACAGGUCACAUGACCAUCCAGCAUGUUUCCAGGUCUGAUGAAGGCCUCUACAAGUGUGACAUCAGCGGUCAUGGAGAGUCUCCAUCCAGCUGGAUCACUGUCACAGACCAACCCACCACCACACCUCCACCUACAUCCACACCUCCUCCUGGUUGCACCUCUUGUCAUCCAUCACCCUCCCUGCCUGUUGUCACUGUGUUGUCAUUCUUUUUAACAGUCUGUGUUGCAGCUUUACUUACUUUAAUAGUUCUGUUCAUUAAACUUUGUGUUGUUAGAAAACCUGAAGGUGACACUUGGACCUCUGGAUUUGACCCAGCCAAUCGACAGGAAGCUAAAGAAGAUAACCCAAUCAGUAACGUCUUAUAUGACAUCGGACAGAGCAGAGGGAUAAAUCGGGCUGCACUCUACUCAACAGUGAGGAAAAAAACACCACUUAUUUACAAAUCGUGAAAGACAAGAGAAACAAAUCAAAGCCAACAGAGUUUCCAUCAGAACCAGAUGCCAUCUCCCCUAGUCCACCAGUCCAACCACUGCAAUCCAGCUGAGGGUCUCGAAUUGGUCCACACAACACCCCAGAUGACAAUUACUUGUAUAACAGAUUAGUAGAUAUCUUCUUUUCUUUACAUGGAGUUAGAGUCACUCAACUUUUGUGAGACAAGAAAAUCAAUUCAACAGCGGAAAGAUUUCUUAUAAAAAAAAAACUUUAAAAAUGUAAACUCUAAAGACUAAAACAAAAAGCAAUAAUAAUAAUUGUCUUUAUCACCACAGCAAUGAUCUGGUUUCUCUGCAGGAUCGGUUAGCUUUGGUCUCAUUUCUUUGUUCUUCCCGUGUGGUUCUGUGGGUUUUACAAAGAUUUCUGAUCAAAAAUUUGAGGCGUUGUGGCAAACCAGUGCAGACUUCUGUUCACCUAACCAGACUGUAAACAGCAUGAACAUCAUUCAGACACUGCACAGAAUAUAUUUAAAACAAGCUGUACGUGUGUCUAUUUGUACAUUUUGAUUCAAGGAAAUUGAAUUUAUGAGACUUUCCUUCAGUUGUUUUUCAAACUAAGCAUGCCUCCAUAGUAUUAUAUCUUUUGAAUUAUGCAGCUGCACACAUUCAUCUGGACACAGGGUUUCUUGGACACUUAUAGAUUUUCUUUUAAACUUCUAUGGCUGAUUGCUUUGCUCCUACAUGGUUCUUCAGUUUAUUGCUAUUAUGUCAGUUUGAUCAAAGAAAAAGAAGUAAAUAUUACAUAUAUUGUGAGGAUAAAUGUUCAAACAGAUCCUGCUUUUGAUGCAGUUGCAAGUGCUGUGUUUGAUUGUGAUAUUUGCCUGUAAGUUGCACAAUUGUGAGUCAUUCUGUUGCUGUGUAUAAUUAAAUGAAAAUGAAAAAACAAAUGUAAUGCU